CCAGUGGACAAAAUAAGGACAACAGGUG
rnacentral:piRNA from 1 species